rnacentral:rRNA from 1 species
GAUGAACGCUGGCGGCGUGCCUAAUACAUGCAAGUCGAGCGAACGGACGAGAAGCUUGCUUUUCUGAUGUUAGCGGCGGACGGGUGAGUAACACGUGGAUAACCUACCUAUAAGACUGGGAUAACUUCGGGAAACCGGAGCUAAUACCGGAUAAUAUUUUGAACCGCAUGGUUCAAAAGUGAAAGACGGUCUUGCUGUCACUUAUAGAUGGAUCCGCGCUGCAUUAGCUAGUUGGUAAGGUAACGGCUUACCAAGGCAACGAUGCAUAGCCGACCUGAGAGGGUGAUCGGCCACACUGGAACUGAGACACGGUCCAGACUCCUACGGGAGGCAGCAGUAGGGAAUCUUCCGCAAUGGGCGAAAGCCUGACGGAGCAACGCCGCGUGAGUGAUGAAGGUCUUCGGAUCGUAAAAAUCUGUUAUUAGGGAAGAACAUAUGUGUAAGUAACUGUGCACAUCUUGACGGUACCUAAUCAGAAAGCCACGGCUAACUACGUG